GAAAGAACACCUUUUUUUAUUUGUAUUAUUAUAAAGCAGUGUGCAAAUGUAUCAGAACACACCUUUGCUUCUGUGGUUUUGAUUUGUUGUGCAGAUGAAAUCAAACCACUGCAACUGAAAAUCUGGAGAAAUUGUCAACAUAGGCCACUCAUGCAGUUAAUUAAAAAUAGCAAAUGAAAAGGGACAGAGCCGGACAAGAUAAAAUGCAUUCGACUUUUUAGAAGUUGAUUAAGUGGCCCAAUGAAAGCACAAAAGCAUCUUUCUUUUAACCAAUGGGCUUCUUUCACAAGUGAGUGACAUGCUUUGCAGCCAAUGACUUGCUUUGACCCUAAAGCCACAGGUGAAGUGAAAUGGGAAUUUAAACAGCGAUCUAUAAUAAAAUACAUCAGACCUACAGAUGUAUUCAGAGUCAUAAAAAUGAACGACUUGUGUGCAUAUUAUCCAUUGUCAAUACAUAUACUGUGUAAUACGUGCACAAUCCUGUCCAGGUGUGGCAGGGAGCAUUUAAUGCAAUGUGAGUGCCAUAUAACUGCAGUCUCCAUUUACUGUUCAUUUUGAUUACAUGUCACAUCAGUAAUGUGUGUGUCUCAGGAGGGAAUGGAACAGAACUGUAGUGUUGGAUAGCCUUCCUUUGUAUUCAGGGUCCCUUUCUCUAUCACAACUUCCAGCACUGUUUUCAUCAGUAGCUCCAAAACAGCUGAAAACUUGAACAGAAAAAAAAGCUUUACAAUGAGAUGUGGUGUUUGUAUUUGCAACAGGGUGUGUAUGUCUCAGAUACAUAAGAAAGUUUACAAACGAGAGGAGGCCCCAUUCGGCCCAUCUUGCUCGUUUGGUUGCUAGUAGCUCAUUGAUCCCAGAAUCUCAUCAAGCAGCUUCUUGAAGGAUCCCCGGGUGUCAGCUUCAACAGCAUAUACUGUAAACUGUAUUUGUCAUUUUCUAUUUAUUGAAAUGCCUGUUGACGUAUCUUUGACAGUCGUGGCACUGAUGUUGCUACGCGUCCUUGCUCAGGCUGGGAUAUUAAUUUAGUUACUGAAUCUUGGACUAAACAAAACAGACACCUAACUUCAAUCCUUGAAUCUCAAUCAGCCCCUGGAUGAAAGUGGUCAAUCCUAGAACCUCAGUUUGCUAUUUCCUGUUUAGUUACGUGUAUGUUUGAAAAAGCUACACAUGUUUGUUGCUUUAAACCUUUCUGUCCUUUCAGCUCCUGCAACUCCAUGUAUUUAUGUUGUCAUGGGAACAGCGGCUGUUCAGAUGUUAGCCACCAUUUUGGUUGUUGUAUUCAUAAUGAAAAGAAAGAGAAAGGUAAGUCUGGAUUUUUUCAUUUGCUCAGUUUUGCUUAAUACUGUGGAACUGGUUCUAUGUUCUAUUAGAAUAUAUGAACUGUUAAAAUACUAGGACAGCAGCUGUCUCUAUACUGUGAACCCCUUUAUAGACUCUUAAGUAAUAUUUGCAUUACAUUUAGUGAUGAGGAACAGCCAGUGAUUCUGUAGUAUUGUUAAGCUUACAGCUGUGGCCAAAAGUUUAGCAUCACCUAGAAUUUUAGGAUUGAGACAUCACUAAAAAAAAAGAAAAAAAAACUACAUGAACGUAAUUUAGAUCUUUUAUUUUUUAUCAUGUAAUCAAAUAAUAAUCAAAUAUCUUUUAUCAUGUAAUCAAAAAAAACUACAAAAUGAUAUCGCAAAAACUCCACAGGAAGCCAUAAUAGUAGUAGAGUAGUAUUUUAUGUUAGAUUUUGAAAUGUCACAUUUUUGUCAGUUUUCCGUUGAGUAUAUGGCAAACUGCAAAGCGGUAUGUAGUUCAAUAUGUUAACGUAACAUUAUUCAGCAGGUUUCAUUCGACUUCAUGAAGCAAAAUUAGAUCAUUCUAUUGGGCGCUGCAAAACUUUUGCCCAUAGCUGUAUUUUAGUGAUUAAACUCAAAUAAAACGAAUAGAUUGCAAAUAAAAUGGUGUUGUAACGGUUUUGAAAUCUUGGGUUGGAUUGUUUCUAUAGGCUGAGCAUCGUGGCAGAGAAAAUAACCCCUUUGGGGAUCUCCAGCUCUCAAACGCCGGUCAGAACUCAAAGGAAGACGCUGAGGGCACUUAUACUGCACUGAACACAUCAGCUGUUUCCUCAGACUAUGAAGAAAUAUGCAAGAAGUAACCAGGAUGGAAAUCUUUGCUCUAAUUGAUAAUGCUGGCGGCUGUUAAAAUGUACUGCCUUCAUUUUGUGAACAGUAAUGCUACUCUUUAGUCCUUCACUGUUUCCUUAGCUUUAAGAGGCUUUAUUGAACUGGAGCUUCAUUUAUGGCAAAAGAAUGCAAUUCUGUUUUAAAGCACAGAUAUAAAAAUGUGCAUCUCCAGUCAAAAUGUAUUUCACACAGUAUUUUUUAUUAUUUUUUUUUUAUUUCACAAUAUUGUAAAGCCAAAAAAGCGCUUAUUUUUUUAAAUAAUAUAUUUAUGAAUGUAUUUGAAUAUAUUUAGCAAUCAUGACCUGCUACAUAUAUUGUAUCAUCAGUAAGGUGUUCAAUACGGUAGAUAAGUCAUCUACAAUACACUGCACUUUUUAAACACAUAUUUUACAAUAUAUUCCAAUGUAUUUUAUAUUUCUUGAGGGGUGAUGUCUUUCUCAGUUUUAAUUUCAAAUAAAUAAUGAAAUUUCUUUCUCGUCUUGGUGUUGGAGCAGUCAUUUACACAUGGAAAUACUGGAGCAGUGAGCAUUUUUACUGGUGUGAUUACUGGCU